CACACUUAGAUAGAAAAGUCCACACUGUCCACACUGUCCACACGUAGAUACAGUACUGCCAAGAAAUAACUUAUCAAAAACCGCGUCCAAGACGCGGGUAUCUUGCGUCCACUGUGCGUCCACGGGCGCCCGCGGGUGCGUCUGUCCUGCGGGCGCCGUGCGUCCAUCGUGCGUCCACUCUGCGUCUGCGGGCGCUUGCGGGUGCGUCCACUGUGCGGGCGCCAUGCGUCCGCUUUGCGUCUGCGGGCGAGGACGCAGCUGAGAAAGAGUUCUAUUCGUAG